AUGAACGCUGGCGGCGUGCCUCAUACAUGCAAGUCGAGCGAACGGACGAGAAGCUUGCUUCUCUGAUGUUAGCGGCGGACGGGUGAGUAACACGUGGAUAACCUACCUAUAAGACUGGGAUAACUUCGGGAAACCGGAGCUAAUACCGGAUAAUAUCUUGAACCGCAUGGUUCAAAAGUGAAAGACGGUCUUGCUGUCACUUAUAGAUGGAUCCGCGCUGCAUUAGCUAGUUGGUAAGGUAACGGCUUACCAAGGCAACGAUGCAUAGCCGACCUGAGAGGGUGAUCGGCCACACUGGAACUGAGACACGGUCCAGACUCCUACGGGAGGCAGCAGUAGGGAAUCUUCCGCAAUGGGCGAAAGCCUGACGGAGCAACGCCGCGUGAGUGAUGAAGGUCUUCGGAUCGUAAAACUCUGUUAUUAGGGAAGAACAUAUGUGUAAGUAACUGUGCACAUCUUGACGGUACCUAAUCAGAAAGCCACGGCUAACUACGUG
rnacentral:rRNA from 1 species